GCAAACUUGGUCAUUUAGAGGAAGUAAAAGUCGUAACAAGGUAACCGUAGGUGAACCUGCGGUUGGAUCAUUAAAAAGCGCCUCUAGCAGGCGAAAAGAUACCAAACCAGCCGGCCAAGCUAAGCAUUGAACAUUGAGUGAGAAGGGAGCUGACAAAUAUCUAUAUAUCUGUCAGCUCUCUUUUCAUUCAAUAGUCAAUGUGAUGCUUUGCUUCCAAGGCCAAGGAGGAGACUUGUAUCAAGUCAAAACCUUUUGUGAACUGUUCUCGUCUCUGGCGGGUGGGCAGAGUUUUAUCUGCUUGUCAGCAUUGCCAAAAGCAGUGCCGUGGACAGCCCGUCAAACACUUGUGAAACAUUUGUUUUAUUUUGAUGCCUGACAUUUACUUGUAUGAAUAUACAAAACAACUUUUGGCAACGGAUCUCUUGGCUCUCGCAUCGAUGAAGAACGCAGC
rnacentral:misc_RNA from 1 species